GGAGGACUGGAUGGCCAUGUAGGGCACAACCAGAGCACCAGCAAAGAACCAACCAAGCCCUUGCUUUAGACCUCUGUUUGUUGCCAUCUGCGCCAUCUGCCUUUACCUAUUACUACUGUCUUCAGUAAAAAAAAACAACCAACAAACAAACAAACAAACAAAACUGAAGCAUUCAUGCAUAGGUAGAGAGUAGAGGCUGUGGUAGCCAGCAGACACCAGUACAACCCAAGUCUUUGCGCUUUUGUAUGCUUUCCAUUCCAUCUCUUGCGCUUGCCCUUCUUGCAAGAAGCACCCUUUUCGCUUUGAAUCUUCCAAGGCCACCAAAGCUACCCAUUCAAACUUAAAGGACCUGCACCGAGUUUCAAUAGCUUCUUUCUUUCCUCACGUUUCUCCAUGUAAGAUGAUACGCUAACACCCAAUGCUUUGCCUGCUUUGGCGCAGAACGCAGAGAGAGAGAGAGGGUGAAUCUUAAAGCAAGUUUUAGGGAUCCAACGGGUGUGGUUUCUUGGUCAUGGUCCAAGGAUGACAUUUUUAUCAGAGUGCCAAAGUUGAAAGAUAAGGGGGGGAAAACAGAAACUAACGUCUUUUAAAGUAAAGAUAGGGACAGCUUACCUGCAAAUAUACUGAUUUAUUGAGUGCCGAGCACUUAGAUGCAGAAAACAAGUAGAUGAAUAGCUAUAAAUUGAUGCAAGAUUAUGAUAAGAUCCCAAUAUAUUCCCUGCUUGUGAAGUGGGCAAGGGAGCCCACAAGAUCGCCCUAGCUGCAAAAGGAAAGGAGGAAAAAAUUAAAGGUGGGUGGAGGAAUGAAUUUUCCAUGAUUUGGCCGGCCUUUUCUUUGGACAGAUUCCUAAAGUGCUAAUUCAGUUAUCUUAUUUUGAAAGGUAAAAGAUUUCCACAUUCAUGUCUUGCUAAAGGACCAAUAAACUAACAAUCAACAGGCUUUCGUCUAGGUCUCUAGGACGGCAAGUUAGUUACACACAAAAAAUUGGGAUCCUAUUAUACAAAAGAGCAAUCAUAUCAUGCUAGUUAUGGAACAAAAUUAGGUCUACAGAUCCUAGGUCAUAAAAGGCAAUGGAAAGCAACAAAUUCAGAUUUACUUCUCUGCUAAGGAAUAGGUAAUGCAACAUUGGCCAGAGUUAGUGAGUUAUUACCAGAUAAAAAGAGCCAUGAUCUUAAAGCAGAUAACAUGUUGAUCCGAUCACAGUAAUGAUGGUGCCCUGAUUAAAGUAACAUCACAGCUGAUUCCAAAUGGCAUGGUUAUUUUUCUCUUGGUCAUAGUUACUUGCAAAGUUAUGUUAUAUGCUAGUAAAGACGUAC
rnacentral:lncRNA from 1 species